rnacentral:rRNA from 1 species
GACGAACCGUGCGAACGUUGUUCGGAAUCACUGGGCUUAAAGGGCGCGUAGGCGGGUGGCCAAGUCGGUGGUGAAAUCCUCCAGCUCAACUGGAGAAUUGCCUUCGAUACUGGUUGUCUUGAGGGGGGUAGGGGCAGACGGAACUUCCGGUGGAGCGGUGAAAUGCGUAGAUAUCGGAAGGAAGACCAGUGGCGAAGGCGGGUCUCUGGACAGUUCCUGACGCUGAGGCACGAAGGCCAGGGGAGCAAACGGG